rnacentral:rRNA from 1 species
GGAGGGUGCAAGCGUUGUUCGGAAUUAUUGGGCGUAAAGAGCGUGUAGGCGGUUCGGUAAGUCAGAUGUGAAAGCCCUGGGCUCAACCCAGGAAGUGCAUUUGGAACUACCAGACUUGAGUACGGGAGAGGAGGGGGAAUUCCCGGUGUAGAGGUGAAAUUCGUAGAUAUCGGGAGGAAUACCAGUGGCGAAGGCGCCCCUCUGGACCGAUACUGACGCUGAGACGCGAAAGCGUGGGGAGCAAACAGGAUUAGAUACCCUGGGUAGUCCACGCCGUAAACGAUGAGCACUAGGUGUAGCGGGUAUUGACCCCCCUGCUGUGCCGUAGCUAACGCAUUAAGUGCUCCGCCUGGGGGACUACGGUCGCAAGACUA